UAGGCUAUAGCCAAGAGGUUAAGGCAUCGCACUUUGACUGCGAGACUCGUGCGUUCAAAUCGCACUAGCCCCA
rnacentral:tRNA from 1 species